AGUGAACGCUGGCGGUAGGCCUAACACAUGCAAGUCGAACGGCAGCACAGGAGAGCUUGCUCUCUGGGUGGCGAGUGGCGGACGGGUGAGGAAUACAUCGGAAUCUACUCUGUCGUGAGGGAUAACGUAGGGAAACUUACGCUAAUACCGCAUACGACCUACGGGUGAACGCAGGGGACCUUCGGGCCUUGCGCGAUUGAAUGAGCCGAUGUCGGAUUAGCUAGUUGGCGGGGUAAAGGCCCACCAAGGCGACGAUCCGUAGCUGGUCUGAGAGGAUGAUCAGCCACACUGGAACUGAGACACGGUCCAGACUGCUACGGGAGGCAGCAGUGGGGAAUAUUGGACAAUGGGCGCAAGCCUGAUCCAGCCAUACCGCGUGGGUGAAGAAGGCCUUCGGGUUGUAAAGCCCUUUUGUUGGGAAAGAAAUCCAGCUGGCUAAUACCCGGUUGGGAUGACGGUACCCAAAGAAUAAGCACCGGCUAACUUCGUGCCAGCCGCCGCCGUAA
rnacentral:rRNA from 1 species